GGUGGAGUGCAUAGUUUCAGAAGAUGUGACUUCUUUUAGGGUAGAUACUUCUGUUCAAAUGGGAGUGGCUGCCCAGAUGGGCACUUCUGUGGGCUAAGUGGUAGUGGGCACUGCUCUCUCUGGGAGGCUGGCUGGUCACUGCUCUGAGAGCAUAAAUGGAUGCUAUUGUGAGAGCUUUGGAGGCAGGUGGCAGGGAGAUUUGUAGUGUACCACAAGUGGUAGGGCACCUUCUUUGACUUUAAACAACCAGUAAGAAACCAAAGACAACAUUUGGUAACUAAACAGUUUAAAAUGCAGUAGAAUCUUAAACCAUAUUGUGAUAGAAGCACCUCAAGGCUAUUGUGUUCGGAAUGUACCACUUACAAGGAAAAUGGAACGCACUAUUCUGUGCCUUGACCAGAUAUAGUUGGAGUAUUGUAUUCAGUUGUGGCCAUCACAUUUUAUCAGUCCCUCUUGGCCUAAACAGGAACUUAUUAGGGCUGUGGAGGAAUCCCUUUGGACUUAUGCAGAGAAGACACACUUAUCUGUCUCUUACAGACUCAGAGAGAACUGUGCCCAAGAAGAUGGCCUUUGUUGGGGGCUUUUAAUCCAGCUUCUGGGAUGGCAGAAACAAGAAGAUGUCCCAGUCAUCUUCCCACCAAGGGAGUUCCAUCUCUGGUUCCUGAAAUGACUUGUCAGAGUCACUCUUUAUAUAGAAAAUUAUAGUCUGGCAAUUACCCAGUGACUGAUGAUAUCUGUCUUCCUCUCAAGGUGACCACCUGAUGGAGAAACCAAGGCCCAGUGAGAGGAAUUGCUUUAUCUAAGGUCACACAUAGACAUUCAAAACUGGAAAGGAUCUAAUAGGACAUCUACAACUCAGCCAGCAAGCUGCCAUCCAGCCUCAGUUUGAUGAUGUCCAAAAAGUGGGAUCCCAUAGGCAGCCCAUUGAGUUUUUCAGACAGCUCUCCAGCUUCUGGGAAUUUUUUUCUUCUAUCAAGUUUAAAUCAUCAUCUCUCCAGUUUUUACUAAUUGAUUCCUAUUUCUGCCCUCUAGGGCUAAACAGAAUAUGUCCACUCCCUCUUUCAUGUCACAGCCCUUUGAAUAUUUGAAGAUAGCUAUCAUGUUACACAGCAGCAGAACUGGAACAAGAAUCUAGAUUAGGAGGGACAUGUAUAUUUGCAUGUGAUUUACUGGUAAUGAUUUCUUAUGGAGUUUAGCAUCUACGCUUAGGCAAUUAUUAAGUCAACAUAUAUUCACUUUUAGUCAUUGUCUAUUAGUUUAUCUCUUGUUUUUCUCAUUCAUUUUUAUUAACCAUAAGUAGAAGAUUCCAAGGCUGUUAGCAUCUUUUGAGACAUAUCUCAUAGAUAUGUUCAUGCACCUGCUUGGUGUAGAGCUGAUUGCUGAAAAGAUAACCUCCAACAAAUUCAUGAGUUUUCCAGACCAUAACUCAUCUUAUACUUCCUUCUAUUUCAUUAUAUGUAUGUAAUACUUGAGAGUUCACAAAGCACUUUUAUAUUUUCUCCUCUAUUUGAGCCCCAUAACAGUUCUGUGAGAUAAGGAGAUGGUAUUCAUUUUACAUGGGAGAAGAAACUAAAGUUCAAAGAAGUGACUUGUCUGAAGUUCCAAAAAUCAAGACCUCACACUUGGGCAUUCCAGAGCCAAGUCCAGAACUCUUCUCUUUCCAGUGUGAUGCUUCCAAGUCUCCUGAAUUCAGCGUCAGUUGUUAAUAUUGUCCCUAUAAGAGUCAGCUCCAGGGCUGAGCCACCAACAAAAAUACCUAUGAUCUUGACCUAAACAAUGCACAAAAAAAAAGAAAAAAAAUACCAAGGAAGGAAUCAAUUUCCAUUUUUUAAAAAAUUGAUGCCCACAGUUGAUGUCUCACCUUGGAUCUUUCCUCUGUGCCUGGGGCUUGUUCACCUUGACACCUCCAUCCUCACCAACACUUAAGCACAGGACUGUCACAUAGUAAGAACAAGUCUUUGCCUUAGAAGACAGCCAUCUCCUUGAGGGUCACCCACCGCAAAGUUUAGAUACCCCCUGCUUUCAACAGUGGCAAGGAUGGGAUACAUUCGGUCAAUUCCACAUUCUCCAAUCAAGGCAGGGACUCCUUGGGUGAAUCACUCACAGGAAGGUAGCUGCCUCGGGGAGGCUUGCAAAAGAGGGAGGUUCUGCUAAUGAGGGACUCCCCAGCCCUAUAAAGGGGCUCUUGCUGACACUACAGCCAUCCAUCGGCCAUCUGAUACCUCAUCUGCAUUGGAGCAUCUGAUUCACUGAAAUACAAGAAAGAUGUCUUACCAGUAUCAAUGCAAACAGCCUUGCCAACCUCCUCCCAAGUGCCCAGAGCCUUGCCAGCCCAAGUGCCCAGAGCCUUGCCAGCCCAAGUGCCCAGAGCCAUGUGCUCCCAAGUGCCCAGAGCCUUGCCAGCCCAAGUGCCCACCGCCUUGCCAGCCCAAGUGCCCAGAGCCAUGUGCUCCCAAGUGCCCACAGCCUUGCCAGCCCAAGUGCCCACCACCUUGCCAGCCCAAGUGCCCACAGCCUUGCCAGCCCAAGUGCCCACCACCUUGCCAGCCCAAGUGCCCAGAGCCAUGUCCUCCCAAGUGCCCUGAGCCUUGUCCUCCUAAAUGCCCAGAGCCAUGUCUUCCUAAGUGCCCUCAGCCAAGUCCACCACAGCAGUGCCAGCAGAAAUGCCCCCCAUGCCCUCCACCCUGUCCACAGCAGUGCCCACCUAAGAGGAAGUAACAGUGCCUAACGCUGGCAACUCCAUGAAAUAGGGAACAUGAGUAAUCCUGUUCAUAUCUGGGCUCCUACCCCCCUGUCUAUGAAUCUCCCAAGUUUCUCUGCCUUUGUUCUUCCCUGAAAGAAAAGUCAAAGAGAAGAGUUUUUCUUCUUAAAACUGCAGUCUGUUCAGAAAUAACACUUCUGAUUCACUCCCAUCUCCAUACCUCCUGAGACGAGAGGCUUCAGAAAAAGGACUAACCUACUUUACACUGGAUUUCCUUCCUGGAAUCUCAGUGGAAGGAUGACCUUAAAAGAACAGACUCACUGGCUUCUUGCCAGUGCAUGAGCUCUUUGUGCUGUAAUGUGGAUGGUGAUUUUCAUUUCUUGAGCCCUUGUGUAACUCUUCUUCUAUUGACUCAAAUAAAAUAAUAUGUUUCAUGGUGA